rnacentral:tRNA from 1 species
CUGGGUGUAGCGCAGUCCGGUAGCGCACUUGCAUGGGGUGCAAGAGGUCGUGAGUUCGAAUCUCGCCACCCAGA